AUAAAUACAUGUGUAUGUGUGUAUGUAAGUACAUCUGUAUAUACAGUGUGCGACAAAACUAAAGCACGGAAUCUGCCUUGUCGGUAUUUAACCGAAUAAAAUCAUAAAGUAGGCAUUACGUGAUGUUUUAUUGAUUUGUAUUAUUAGUUCAUGUAUUCUUCUUUUAAAAUUAGUAAAAAUUAAACAAAUUAACUUACUAAAAUAUUAUAUAAAAUUAAAUAUAUGAAGAACUCCAAAAAUCUGGUGCGACAAAACAAAAGCACAUAACUAAGAAUUUACAUUAAUUGCACAUUAAUUGUUUGUCAAACGGGUUUUAAUGAUCAAAAAUGUUGGAUAUGUGUAGUUAUUACCUAAUUAGAAAAAUAUUAAUGCAUAUUCAGUUGCAGUUCGUCAUUCAGUACGGUUGGUUGUAUGUUAAAGAGAAAGAUAUUUCAAUGGCUCGAAAUAAGUAUUCUGUUCAUUUUAGAAAAAAAUUUGUUAAGGAUUUUAAGAAAAGAGAAUCGGUUAUGACUAUUGCAAAAAAGUUUGGAAUAAAUCAUCCUAAUGUUUCCCGAA